UAGGGAUGGAAGGACAAAUUGGUUUCUGUUAAAUGCAAACUGACCUAAUUUGCACUUCCUGAAACUAAAUGCUGACUGGAAAGGCAGCUAUCCUUGAAAUUUCUCACUUUGCCAGAUUCUACAAUGUUACUAUCCAGCCCAAAAAUGUGCACAGUAACACACAUUAGGGGCAGUGGGGCAUAUGAAUGCACAGGUGGGUGAGAAUCACAUACAUAAAAUGUGUUAUACCAGGAAAAGUCAAUUGGAAAAAUGCAUAUAUAUUAGGAGACAGGGUCAUUAAGAUGCCGAUGAAUUUUCAUGAGGAUUUGAAAAAGGCAGUGUGUGUGAUGCAGAAUUGUGGCAAACAAGACAUAUUCAUCCACCUGUAUUCUGAGGGUGCUCCAUGAGGGGAUAAUGGUGCUUCCCCAUGGGGCAUCUGGUUGGCCACAGUAAGAACAAGAUGCUGGACCAGAUGGGCCACUGGGUCCUCUUACAUUGUUAGCAAGCACAGGUGAAAUGUGGAAGGGUUGUAGCCCAGCGGUGGAGGAUAUGCACCUUGCCUGCAGAAGGUCCUGUGUUGAAUCCCCAGCAUCUCCUGGUAGGGUUGGGAGAGACUCCCUGCCUGAAACUCUGGAGAGCUGCUGCCAGUCAGUGAAGACAACACUGUGCUAGAUGGUCUUAUUCAGUAUAAAGCCGUUCUUAAAUUGUCAGUUCAUAACCGCAAGACAUGUGUUAAUCACUCUCCACAAGCCAGUGUUACAUGCACUCUUAAAAACAAAUGCGUAACACAGACACCUUUUGAAGGCAAAAGCAGGAAGAGGAAACUGGUAAAAAAAAUGCACAGAAUGAAUAGGAAGUAUCAGGGAGGGGGAGUGCAUUGGUUUCUGCUCCCUACCCUCUUAUCAUACAUCUUUCAGCGUCUUUAUGUAAAUCCAGUGGAGCGAUUUGAAUUGCCAGGUGGCCAAGUUGAAAAAGAGGCAUCCCAGAAUGCUGUUGGCUGGGCCUACGUGUCAUUGCUACCGUCUCAAGCUAAGCUCGCCUUACAGAAAAGGCUUUUGUGCCUGCUUAGAGGCAUUGUUGUCCGGCCACACUCCAGACACUCCCAACUAAGAAUUUAUUAUCAUGCCACCUCACUGUACCUACAAAUCUUGGUCUUUUGAAAAGGGUUGUCUUGUGGCUCAGAUGAUGAGUCUUGGACCUAGGCCAUGGGAUGAGUCUUCUGAGAGCUGCCAUAUUUUAUCAGGUUACAGGUUGCUAAGAUGGACUUUUGACCCUCCUGUGUAAAACUUCCUGAGCAAGAACCAUGGCUUUUCGACUGAUAUGCUGGCAUUUUAAGCUAAAUUUCAUCCACACCUUUGUGACACAUCAAUGAGCAUCACUGGAGAAUGCUGCAACUCCCCACACAUUUUCUGCACAGAGGUGCUUUCAUUCCCCCAGGAUGUUCCCACUGAAGUGGGAGAAAAGAAUUACAUUACAUGCUGGUAUGCCACCCGAAUUCCUGCAAUUUUCUGGGUUGAGGCAGCUGCAACUGGAUCCUCCCCCCCCCAAGGAAUCAAAUGGCACAGAAAGGAGUGUUAAGCAUGUACUGUAUUCUGUUAACAUGUUAUUUAUCUUAUUAUUUAUUUAUUAAAUUUGUAUAAAGAUCUCAGGGUGGUUCACAGCACAAAAAUAAAAAAUAAAAACACAGAAU